GACGAACGCUGGCGGCGUGCUUAACACAUGCAAGUCGAGCGGUAAGGCCCUUUCGGGGGUACACGAGCGGCGAACGGGUGAGUAACACGUGGGUGACCUGCCUUUAGCUCUGGGAUAAGCCUGGGAAACUGGGUCUAAUACCGGAUAUGACCCUAUGGCGCAUGUUGUGGGGUGGAAAGCCUUGUGCGGCUAGGGAUGGGCCCGCGGCCUAUCAGCUUGUUGGUGGGGUGAUGGCCUACCAAGGCGACGACGGGUAGCCGGCCUGAGAGGGCGACCGGCCACGCUGGGACUGAGACACGGCCCAGACUCCUACGGGAGGCAGCAGUGGGGAAUCUUGCGCAAUGGGCGAAAGCCUGACGCAGCGACGCCGCGUGAGGGAUGACGGCCU
rnacentral:rRNA from 1 species